rfam:Oryza sativa (indica cultivar-group) chromosome 4, whole genome shotgun sequence.
GAUAUCAACUGAAAAAGUCAUCAAAAACAAAGUUGAAUAACUCAUCAAGAUCUACAACUUUUAUUUUGGUCAUUUCUUCAUACGACAAAGUGAUAGUAACAUUGUUCACAAAAUUGACAUAUCUCUUAUCUGGUUUUAUAAACUAUAACACAUAUAUGUAAAAUUUAUGAAUAAUAUUACUAACAUUUCGUCGGAUGAAUAAAUAACAAAAAUAAAAGUUUUAGAUCUUGAUGAGUUAUUCAACUUUGUUGUUGAUGACAUUUUCAAUUGAAAUC